AGUGGGGAAUAUUGCACAAUGGGCGAAAGCCUGAUGCAGCAACGCCGCGUGAGCGAUGAAGGCCUUCGGGUCGUAAAGCUCUGUCCUCAAGGAAGAUAAUGACGGUACUUGAGGAGGAAGCCCCGGCUAACUACGUGCCAGCAGCCGCGGUAAUACGUAGGGGGCUAGCGUUAUCCGGAAUUACUGGGCGUAAAGGGUGCGUAGGUGGUUUCUUAAGUCAGAAGUGAAAGGCUACGGCUCAACCGUAGUAAGCUUUUGAAACUGAGAAACUUGAGUGCAGGAGAGGAGAGUAGAAUUCCUAGUGUAGCGGUGAAAUGCGUAGAUAUUAGGAGGAAUACCAGUAGCGAAGGCGGCUCUCUGGACUGUAACUGACACUGAGGCACGAAAGCGUGGGGAGCAAA
rnacentral:rRNA from 1 species